rnacentral:rRNA from 1 species
UACGAAGGGGGCUAGCGUUGCUCGGAAUCACUGGGCGUAAAGGGCGCGUAGGCGGAUCUUUAAGUCAGAGGUGAAAUCCUGGAGCUCAACUCCAGAACUGCCUUUGAUACUGAGAGGCUUGAGUCCGGGAGAGGUGAGUGGAACUGCGAGUGUAGAGGUGAAAUUCGUAGAUAUUCGCAAGAACACCAGUGGCGAAGGCGGCUCACUGGCCCGGUACUGACGCUGAGGUGCGAAAGCUAGGGGAGCAAACGGG